ACAAAUUUGUUUUGGUAUGUAUAAUUACUCAAAAUUCCUUAUUUAUUAAAAUCCUGGUAAAAUGAAUAGGAGAGGGAGUAAGGAGAAUUCCCAGAAGGCCCUGCUUCAUGGUGCCUCCCACUGGUUAAAAGGGGGCGUGACGAGUUUCCUCUUCCUCUUUCCCUGUCUCUUCGAGGAAGAGAAUGUUGAGCUGCUACAUGCUGCUGGGGAAUUAAUGCUUUGCUCUUCAUUACCAGAGAGGAAAAGACACGUGCCAAUAAAGGGACGUCGGAUCCCGAGUCCAGAGGAA